rnacentral:lncRNA from 1 species
UUUCUCACAAGGCUAGCCAAAAGAUAUAUGAUUUUAAAAGGUUGCGGACUUCUAAAAAUUAUCAUAUUGAAAAAUAGAUUAGACUAAUUACUGAUUUUAGAAGUUCUCUUCCAAUCCCUUAUUCUAUAUGUGGUAAAAACUCUAAAUGGUUAUGAGUCUGGCUGUUAUAAACAAGUAGUCACAGAAGAUAAAAUGUUAGCCAACUAAUAAAUAAGAAUUAAAGCAACAUAAUGAACAACCUUCUAUCCAAUUAUUCAGGAGCACAAAUCUCCCAAGGUUUCACUAUUCAAAGGGAUUGCGAAGUAAAAGAUUGAAAGAAAUGAGUUAAGAUUCAUUUACCUAUGAUUUGGGGAAGAAAUGGUCUUUGAAAAAUCGCCUCUUGAGGUUUAGAUUCUGAAAAAUGGGAGAAUGAAUGAAAAAUCCCGUCCAAAAUCGUUUUUGAAUAGUUGCAGGUAUCGCAUUUGCGAUCAGGGAUUCGCAAUUGCGAACUCCACAAAUACGAACUUUACUUCGCAAAUGUGAAGAAUUGCCUGGCCUGAUAGCAUCGCAAAUGCGAACAAGUGUUCGCAAAUGCGGCCUGAUCUGAUCGCAAUUGCAAUCAUGAGCUUUGCAAUUGCGAAGGUCCCCGCCCAGCCCUUCUGCUCGCAAAUGCGAAACUUCUUCGCAAAUGCGAGGCUCGCAUUUGCGAGCCAAACUUUGCAAUGCGAAGUGUGCAUACCUGAAGCAUACUAGCAAUAUUUCUUAAGUCCAAAUCACUCUGUAGCCUAUCCGAAACUCACCCGAGCCCUCGGAACUCCAAACCAAAUAUGCCCACAAGUCUUAAAACUUCAUAUAAACUUGCUCGCGCGAUCUAAUUGCCAAAAUAACACCUAGAACUACGAAUUUAGCCCCAAAUUGCAUGAAAUUUCCAAGAAAGUUUCAAAGCUUUUAUUUCUCAACCAAAGAGCUGAAUCACGUUAAAUCAGCCCCGUUUCUCACCAAAUUUCACAGACAUGAUGUAAAUGUUAAAAUAAAUCUGUACCGGGCUCCUGAACCAAAAUACGGGCCCGAUACCAACGAGAUCAAGCAUUAAUCAAAUUCCUUAAAUCAUUAGAUUUUAAGUCUUACAAUUUUCAUCAAAAAUUUAUUUUCCAGGCUUGGGACCUCGAAAUUCGAUUUUGGGCAUAUGCAUAGGUCCCACAUUUUCCUAAGGUUCCACCGGGACCGUCAAAACACGGUUCCGAGUCCGUUUUCUCAAAAUAUUAACCGAAAUCAACUAAAAUUAACUUUUUAGGCCAAAAAUUAUUAUUUUAUCAAUUUUCCACACAUAAGCUUUUCGGAAAUGCGAACGGACUGUGUACGCAAAUCGAGGAGAGAUAAAAUAAGGUUUUUAAGGUCUCGGAACACGGAAUCGAUUUCUAAAACGUAAGAUGACCCUUUGGAUCAUCACAGAUGAGUUUGGGCUCAAAUUACUACCCCUAGUUGCCAUCAACUCAUACAACUAUUGAUCAACUUUAUCUUUACUCCGUACAUUCCCACAUUGAUAGGUGCCUACUUUUCCCAAUCAUCUCUACCAUGAUUAGAAUAAGUGGGCACCUAUCAACGAAUGAUGUUGGUUAUUGUACUGUUAGUAUGUCCCACAUCUGUUGCAGGAAUGAAUGAUCUUCACUUAUUAAAAAAUUUUGAUUUUUUUUUAUCUCAUGAGCUAUUUGUUGAAUUCAAGUUAAUAUAGUAUAAAAACUAGAUUCAUUAUUCUUAUUUUAUUCAAUGUUGGGCCGUGUGUGAUCAUAGAUACCGUCGUUCUUAAUCAUCAAGAUCAAAUUAUCCAUCGUGAUUUUUUCAAAAGAUGUAGCUUUAAAGAAAAUAUGCAUAAUAAAUCACUCACAAAUCUAAAAUAUCUCAAUUAAAACUUAAAUUUAUAUUUUUUGAUAUUAAUAGAAUAAAAGUAGACUCUAACGAUUGAACAACUUAAGAGAACUAAAUAUUCGAGCUGACAAAGUAUUAACAACAAACCUAACUUCAAUAUUGCCCCGCUUCAAAUGUCUAGCUAAAAUUAGGCGUGUUGGGUUAUUUUGGAGUAUGUCCCACAUUAGUUGAAGGAAUAGAUAUCCUUAUAUAAUUUUGAACAAUUAUUUACCUCAUGAAUUAGCUUUUGCGCUUGGAUUAAAGUUAAGAUUCAUUUUCAUAACAAAUAAUGAUGUCUUAUAAUUUGUCAUCCCAUUGAUCAAUACCCUCUGGAGUCAUCCCUGUUUCACUUUUUUGUGAUUCAAUAUUAUUGACCACAACAUUAAUCAGAAAUUUAAAGUUCGAGUCUUAAGUAUUUGUUAUACCCCAUUUUAAACUGGUUAAAGUAUGGCACAACAUAUAGGCAAUUCCGAGUUUGAUUAAAAUUAAAGAGUCGCCACAUAAUUAUUUUUAAGGUUAAUUAGGACACCUAUUUACUAAAUAAUACUUAAAGUUAACUCCGUUUAUAUGGCCUGUUUAGCUUUAGAAAUUCUAGGUAAGGGUUCUAGUAAUCUCAAAAGGAAGGGGUUAGGCACCUUUUAAGAUCAGUUAAAAAAUAGUUAAUCGGCCAAACUUAGGUUAUUUAAUUUUGAGGCUUAUUUUUUAUUAAAAGGGUACAUGAAGAAAAUGACUCACACAAAGGUAUAAGGUAGCUAAUCUUUGAUUGUAGAGAUAGAUUCAUAAAAUGUUUGAAGGAAAACGUUGUCAUUUGUCUUAAAGAAAGAAAAAUGAUUUCAACUGCAAAUACAAAGAUGUUUCUGGUCCUAAGCUUAGGAAGACAAAAUCAGUUUUUUGAGUCUUUACUCUCAUCAGGAAAAUAAUUCUUCUUAAUAAGAGUUAAACUUUCUCACAAGACUAGCCAAAAGAUAUCUGAUUUUAAAAGGUUGCGGACUUCUAAAAAUCAUCAUAAUGAAAAAAUGGAUUAGACUAAUUACUGAUUUUUGAAGUUCUCUUCUAAUCCCGUAUUCUAUAUGUGGUAAAAACUCUAAAUGGUUAUAAGUCGUGGCUGUUAUAAACGAGUAGUCACACAAGACAAUGUUAGCCAACUAAUAAAUAAGAAUUAAAGCAACAUAAUGAACAACCUUCUAUCCAAUUAUUCAGGAGCACAAAUCUCCCAAGGUUUCACUAUUCAAAGGAAUGAGGAGAAAAUGAUGAUGGCUCAGCUUCGACAGCGACGGUGUAUAUGACAUGCAAAAGAAAAGAGAAGUAAAAGAUUAGGAGGCAACCCAUAUAAGACAUAUCAAUGUAUAAAGAGAUGUUCACAUAUAUAGAAGUAAUUAGGCAAAAUAACCAAAUGAUUUCAGUAAUUACAUAUGAAUAUAUCUUUGACUAGAACUCUAAAUACUUUAACAGAUCCAUUUCAUUAAUAUAGACUUGCACCUCUAAAGUAAUACAAAAACAAUCUCCUAACACAUGAAGUAUUAUUCAUAUAAUCUUGACCAAGGGAUAAACUAACGAAAUCCAAACUAUUAUCCUAGUUAUUACAACACAUGGUUUUUCGUUAAAAGGUUAAUCAUUGAAAACUUCCUGUUAACAAAAACAAUCCCAACAUAGAUAAGUAAUUUCCUGCCUUUUGAAAUAUUUUAGACCAAAAGGAACAAUAACUCUAACCCAUGUUCUAAAUAAGAGACUAGUUCAGAAACUACUGUAUUAACUCAUAGAAUAAAAUAAAAAAUUAACUUUAUACAUACUAGACAAAGAAGUGAUAUUCUAGACUUAGCAUUUUGAAGUAAGAAAUAGCAGAUCAUGAUAUUUAAAGUAGACGGCACAAGAAAAACAACUAACAUAUUAAUCUAUUCAUGUGAGUAUUUAAUCGACAUCAAGUUUUUCAUGUUGAUUAACACAUAGACAGAUCACAUAAUCUUUUACUAUUUUUUAUACCUAAAGAAAUCUUAAAGCAUGCUUUCUAUAUAAAAAAAAUUAAACAGACAAACAAACACUUAUUUUGAAUAAACAAAAACUAGGAUUUGAGAAUCACUGACCUUUUUGUAAGCAGAGAAUGGGGCGUCGUCAAGAAGGUCUACGAUUUUCGGCCUCUACUACGUAACUCCGAGCGAGUGCCAAAAGAAAAGAGAUUUUAGAGUGUCGUUCAAAGAAGAGUAGCGAGUACAAGGAUCUAAAGUGUUGAGCUAAAAGUGCUGAAAAUAGUCACAAAGUCUGAUAUUUAUAGGUGUAAAAUUAGGGUUCUUGGUUCCUUUGAGCGAGAAUUUAAAAUUCAGAUUUCAAAACAAGUCAGACGGAUCCGUUUAAAUUAACGUUGAACCCUUAGGAUGGAUUCAUUCUCCACGUGAUUCUUCAGUGAUAAGGUUCAGGUUAUACCUGAAAUGGUGGGAUAUACUCUAGCGCGUAGGGAUUUAAAACUUGAAAGUCAAGACUUGGCUAAAAAAUGGAGAAAAAGUCAAGAGAUAGCUUUGCCAUGGCAGAGAUUGAAAACGACAAUAGAGAGGGAAAGGGAAUCAUUUGUUUUUGGUGAAAGAGGAAUUGGGGUUUCUAGAAUAAUCUUUAUGGAUUGGAUUUUUGGGACUAAAAAUAAAAUAAUCCGAUUGGGCUUAUUAGAAUCAUUAGCCAAAUUAGGCAUAUUAUGUUGAAAUUUGAAUUUUAGUCCAAAAAAUGGAGAAGAGAACAAAGG